GAAUCAAUUAAAAACAAUUUUUAACAAAAGCGAGCAUAACCUAAAUAUUUUAAAAUUCGGUGUAAAAAAUUAACAGCAUUUUCGUGAGUUUGAGGUUAGAUAAUUUGUUUUUUUUUAUGAUUGGAAAGUUGUUCAUGUAAAAGAAACAUAUCAGAAUUAAAUUUAGUAAAAAGUCACUUCGCUGCAAAAUCAUUUAAUACAAAUUGCAUUUCAUAUGAAGCAAGGAUAAUUUGACAACUGUCAAACAGUGUUGCUAUUCGCCUAUAUGUGUGUAUGUAACUCGCCACGUAGCACAUGCCUCUCGUUAGUAACUAAACAAGGUACGCAAGCACUUAAAAGCGAGUUAUCAACAUUCUAUUUUAUGGCAGACACCUUAUCAAUAAAGGUAUAAUGAAACCAACUAUUUUGGCAAACUUCCGCAUAGAAAUGAAAUAAAAAAACAAUUUUAAAAAUAAUAUUCAUUAGCGCAGCAGUCGCCUGUGCGCAGCUGUUCAAAUGUCUAGCUUCCCAACUAUUAAACGCACAUAACGGUAAAACGUGCCCUAACACAAUUGAAAAUCAACGACUAUCGCCUAUAUAUACGAGUAUAUACAUAUGUAUCAUAUAUAAAAUUAAUGUUAUUUAUGAAUUUAUUAUGCGUAUUCUCUAUAAAUUUGUAUUUGUUUUUUUUUUUCUGAUUACUUAGCUGUUAUCAUUUUAUAGCCAGACAAAGACGGUCUGUCGAGUUAACUACAAAUAACAUAAUUAAUGGCAAUAUUAUAAUUAAUAAAAGUGAAAUUAUUUAAUUCCUAGGCAAAUACGCACUUAAGAUAAUGCAAAACAUUGUAACUGUGAACGAUAGUUUGAGACAGAUAAAUGUGUCAAACCAGAAAAAAGAACAAAUUAUCAUAAAUAAAAUUAUACAUACAUAUAUAGUGCAUAAAUAUGUAAUCACUAUCUGAAAAGCCCUUGAUAUGAACUUGAAACACAUAAAGCUGUAAGGUAUGUAUGCAUAUAGUGUAAAGUUAUUUUGCUUAACAAUGAGAGCAUCAAGCACACACAUACAUAUUAACAUAAAUUAUAUAUAAUUUAUUUUAUAAAAAGAAUUCCUGACAGCUGAAGGCCGUCAUUUUUCGAUCUUAGUAAGCUUAUGACAAUAUAUUUUGAUCACAUUUCUCUGCAUUAGUUAUCGCCAACGGCACUUCAACACUAAUAGGUUAUCGAUUUUUAUCGCAUAUCGGAAUCGUUGGCUGUUGUGUUUAUCAAGUAAUAAAGUGUCAGUUGCAUUUACAAUUUAAUUUAUGGGCAUAAAAAAUGUGUAAAUGUUGUUUAUUAUCAAUUAUUGCCAAUAUUUAGAUAUUUAUGUGUGUGUAUGUACAUGUGUGCAGUGAAGUGCGCGCAAUGAAGAGCGCACAAUUUACGUUGAAAUUGUGAUACGUGUAAAUAGUUAAGAACCAGAGCAUGACGGCCGCGAGUUUGCCGCUCAGUUUGGACAAAUGUUUGCGCUGCAAAUAUAUGUAUGUAGUAGUUGGCAGCACCACGCGAAAAGCAGCAGGAAAAUCAGAAGUGGUAUACAAUGUGAAAAGAAGCAAGUCGUGUAGUCGUAUUGAUCAACUGUUUAAAUGAGUAACAUCUCUAAGGAUCGGGUUUUCGAGUGCCUAUCAAUGUGAGAAUCACGAAUCAGGCAGUUAAAUUUAACGAUAAACGGUGACAGUGCUGCGAAGAGGAAGAAAGGAACAACGUAAAUCAGCUAAACUUAAGUAAAGUAAAUUUCUCUUAGCAGAGUCUUCUUAAAACCUUUACUCAAGCUCAUGAAUAUAAAUAUGCGUCACUUUCCUUCAUAUUUGAUCAGCUGUUUGUUUGUUUGCAAACAGAACAGAUGUCACUGCCACAGCCACAUACUAAUACAGCAUUUCACGACAGCGCAAUUACGUGUUUCGCUCUCUCAAUCGUUAUUCGCACUCUAAAUACAUACCGAAUUAUUUAAUUCACCCUCUAAAUACAUGCCGAAUACAAAUUUUCGUGAGACAAUUACACUAAAAGUGGGUAAUUCAUAAUCGAUUCCCUUGCAAAUUAGAGAUACAAAAAAUACAAAAAGUUAAUCAUUACACAGCCUAUUCAACAUAGACGUGUUAUCGUUAACUCUCCAGGAAGACAACCUAACCUAACUUUAUUUAAGAUUCAUAGAUGAAAUCACAAGUUCUAAAAUUCUAUUAAUUUCUUUCUGAAAAUAGUUGGAAGAAACAAUUGGUACGCAAGCGGAGAAGAGUUAUACAAACACUAUUUUUUGGAUAAUAUACUGGCCGGGCGUGCACUGUGGCUAGACUUUAUUCACCGUUUUUCAAACGGCACAAAUAUGCAUAGUACGUAGACUUAUGCUGCCUACUGUAUAUUCAGUGGAAAAAGGGUUUUUUUUGGACUACAAAAAAAAUACUGGUUUGUUGCAUUCUUGAUUUAUAUGAGCAGUUAAAACUUCAAAAUACAAUAAUAACGUUCAGCUGAUAAAGUGACCCGAUAGGAAAAAUAUGCGUGAAUGCGCUAAGGGCAUGUACAUACAAAAAAGGUACUUAUCUCACAAUUUGCUAUUAGAAUAAACACAAAGAUUGAAAUAGAUUUGAAAAAUAAAAAAAAUCCAUCAUACAUUCGCCAUAAAUGCACAUUAACAUAUACAUCUGUACAUCUGUACAUAUAUUGCUUUUACUUAUAAGCUCUGUCUACAGUCAGACCUCCCGGGCCAUACAUUCACUUUGUAAAUAAUAUUUUUUUUAUUAGGCGCUUAUCAAAAUGUCUAAAUAUAUGAAACAGUGUUUGCAUGUACAUAUGUACACGCGUGUAAUUAAUUUAAGUAAGCACCUUGUUUUUCAGAAAUUUUUGCCAGUCAUCAUUAUCAGCACCAACCCAAACACAAUAAACAAUUUUAUUGACA